rnacentral:rRNA from 1 species
UUCGGGUUGUAAAGUACUUUCAGCAGUGAGGAAGGUGGGUAUGUUAAUAGCAUACUCAUUUGACGUUAGCUGCAGAAGAAGCACCGGCUAACUCCGUGCCAGCAGCCGCGGUAAUACGGAGGGUGCGAGCGUUAAUCGGAAUUACUGGGCGUAAAGCGCAUGCAGGUGGUUUGUUAAGUCAGAUGUGAAAGCCCGGGGCUCAACCUCGGAAUUGCAUUUGAAACUGGCAAACUAGAGUACUGUAGAGGGGGUAGAAUUUCAGGUGUAGCGGUGAAAUGCGUAGAGAUCUGAAGGAAUACCGGUGGCGAAGGCGGCCCCCCUGGACAGAUACUGACACUCAGAUGCGAAAGCGUGGGGAGCAAACAGGAUUAGAUACCCUGGUAG